rnacentral:lncRNA from 1 species
AAAGACAGGCCAAUAACUUAUGUCCUCAAAACCUUGGAUUUUACAUUCGAUAGCCAAAACAGAGGACAUGAAAUAUCACCUAUCUUGUAUUCAAAUCUAAACAUGAUAAAAUCGUGAAAGGUACUUCAUCUAAUGCAUUAUUUAUCAUAAAAGUUAUCUUAUGUUUAGAAUGCUUAAUUUUAUUUCUUCCAAAAACUCUAAUAAUCAAUCAAACCUUACAUUAAAACAUUUAUAAUUUACCAAAAUUUUAUUAAAACAUUGUAAAAUAUAAAAUAUACUAUAUAUAUCUCGACAAAUCAGAUAUAUUUAUCCUAAAAAACUUUGCAAGAUUUUUGUUGAUAGAAACGUAAAUUUCAUUACUUAAUAAUGAACAAAUAAUUACAAGUGAUGAACUUAGAAAAUUUGAAAUCCAAAAUGAUUCAAGAAGUUAAAUUGAUGGUACAAACCUCAAAAAAGUUGGUAGAAAUAUGAGAGGACCAAUUUUGGAAACUAAAUUACUGCUAACACAAAGAUGUGAAACUCUACAUUGAACCCUAGCCUCAGCGUUCAUUUUUUUUUUGUUCUGUUCCAGUUUGUUUUUUUUUCUGAUUUUUAGUGUUUUUUUUGCUUUACCGAUAUAGAAACCGAUCAGUUAUUUAUAGUGUGUUAAAGCCUGGACAUGGCCGGCUGGUAGAACUAGUAUGUCGUUGACUUGUUAAAUAUACUAAGCUCGGUUAGGUUUAAAAUCUGGAUUUGAAAAAAAAUCGUUAAAACCA